AGAGUAACACAACGUGGCCUAUUUUGAUUCGUGGACGCAAAAAUACAAAAAGGAAUUGUUUUUUUUCUUUCUUCUCUCUUCUUGCUCGAUCCUCUCUCUUCUAUGUCGAUCCAGACGGCGAAUCGAAGGCGAUUCAGAAAAAUCAAUCCAUAGUUCCAGACCCAAUUCAUCUUUGAGCUUUGUCAUCCAUUCCUUCAAAUUCUUCAUCGGAAUAUCCACUCCGAUCUAAAAACCGCCUUUCGUCUUCUUCUUCGCGUUGCCCUCUCUCGUCGUCGGCGGCAGAUUAAAAUUGCCCUUCAAUUCUACAGUUGCAAGAACAUGCUCUUUCAAAACCAAAUUCGAGCCUUUUCACAACUAAAUUUUGUUCCUUUAUUGAUUCUCUGAAAUCAGUCUCUGUUAUUUUUGUACUUUUUGCUUUCCAAUGAUGGGAAGAGUAGACAAUUUGCUUUUAUUUGAUAUCGUAGUGCUGAAGAAGCUCAAGAAGCUAUCAAGUAUUUCAACAAGUCUUUUCUUGAUACUUCUCGUAUAUAUGUGAUGAUGUUUAAAGCUGGUCGCCUUUUCGUGAUGAUGACAAUGAUGAUGUUCUUGACACUGAUCGCCUUUUCGUCCGUAACCUGCCUUACAUUGCAACAGAAGAAGAGCUUAUGGAACAUUUAAGCAAAUUUGGUGAGAUAUCAGAAGUCCAUCUUGUUCUUGACAAGGAGACGAAAAGGUCCAAAGGAAUUGCCUACAUCCUUUACCCGAUUCCGGAAUGUGCGGCAAGGGCAAUGGAGGAAUUAGAUAACUCAAUUUUCCUAGCUGUUAGUUCAGGUUUUAAAACAUUUGAUGGUGAUGCAGGGCAAUGGAGGAAUUAGAUAACUCAAUUUUCCAGGACCGUUUGUUGCAUAUUUUUCCAGCCAAGCACCGUGAAACGUCUGAUAAACAAGUGAAUGACACUUCUAACCUGCCAAAAACAUUCAAGCAAAAGAGAGAGGAACAAAAGAAAGGCAUCGGAAGCUGGUGGAAAUACAAAGGC